GGGACGCGGAGUAAAUUAUUUUUUGGAUGCGGGGCUAUACAUGCAGUCGAGCGAACGGACGAGAAGCUUGCUUCUCUGAUGUUAGCGGCGGACGGGUGAGUAACACGUGGAUAACCUACCUAUAAGACUGGGAUAACUUCGGGAAACCGGAGCUAAUACCGGAUAAUAUUUUGAACCGCAUGGUUCAAAAGUGAAAGACGGUCUUGCUGUCACUUAUAGAUGGAUCCGCGCUGCAUUAGCUAGUUGGUAAGGUAACGGCUUACCAAGGCAACGAUGCAUAGCCGACCUGAGAGGGUGAUCGGCCACACUGGAACUGAGACACGGUCCAGACUCCUACGGGAGGCAGCAGUAGGGAAUCUUCCGCAAUGGGCGAAAGCCUGACGGAGCAACGCCGCGUGAGUGAUGAAGGUCUUCGGAUCGUAAAACUCUGUUAUUAGGGAAGAACAUAUGUGUAAGUAACUGUGCACAUCUUGACGGUACCUAAUCAGAAAGCCACGGCUAACUACGUGCCAGCACCCCGCCGGUAAUACGUAGGUGGCAAGCGUUAUCCGGAAUUAUUGGGCGUAAAGCGCGCGUAGGCGGUUUUUUAAGUCUGAUGUGAAAGCCCACGGCUCAACCGUGGAGGGUCAUUGGAAACUGGAAAACUUGAUGCAAAAGAGAGAAGUGGAAUUCCCUGGUGUAU
rnacentral:rRNA from 1 species